rnacentral:rRNA from 1 species
GACGAACGCUGGCGGCGUGCUUAACACAUGCAAGUCGAACGGAAAGGCCUGCUUUCCCUUGUGGAUUGCGGGUGCUCGAGUGGCGAACGGGUGAGUAACACGUGAGUGAUCUGCCCCCAACUUGGGUAUAAGCCUGGGAAACUGGGUCUAAUUCCCGAUAGGACUGCAGGGUGGUGCCUGUGGUGGAAAACGAUUUUCUAGUGGUUGGGGAUGAGCUCGCGGCCUAUCAGCUUGUUGGUGGGGUAAUGGCCUACCAAGGCGGCGACGGGUAGCCGGCCUGAGAGGGUGGACGGCCACAUUGGGACUGAGAUACGGCCCAGACUCCUACGGGAGGCAGCAGUGGGGAAUAUUGCACAAUGGGCGGAAGCCUGAUGCAGCGACGCCGCGUGGGGGAUGACGGCCUUCGGGUUGUAAACUCCUUUCGACCGCGAGGAAGCCACCUGGUUGGAAGGGUGGUGACGGUAGUGGUAGAAGAAGCACCGGCUAACUACGU